CCUACGGGUGGCAGCAGUGGGGAAUAUUGCGCAAUGGGGGCAACCCUGACGCAGCCAUGCCGCGUGUGUGAAGAAGGCCUUCGGGUUGUAAAGCACUUUCAGUGGGGAGGAAAGAGUGCCGGCUAAUAUCCGGUGCAGUUGACGCUACCCACAGAAGAAGCACCGGCUAAUUCCGUGCCAGCAGCCGCGGUAAUACGGAAGGUGCAAGCGUUAAUCGGAAUUACUGGGCGUAAAGCGCGCGUAGGCGGCUUGGUAAGUCGGGUGUGAAAGCCCCGGGCUCAACCUGGGAACUGCACUCGAUACUGCCGGGCUAGAGUACGAAAGAGGGGGGUGGAAUUCCAGGUGUAGCGGUGAAAUGCGUAGAGAUCUGGAGGAACAUCGGUGGCGAAGGCGGCCCCCUGGUUCGAUACUGACGCUGAGGUGCGAAAGCGUGGGGAGCAAACAGGAUUAGAUACCCCUGUAGUC
rnacentral:rRNA from 1 species